GAUGAACGCUGGCGGCGUGCCUAAUACAUGCCAGUCGAGCGAACGGACGAGAAGCUUGCUUCUCUGAUGUUAGCGGCGGACGGGUGAGUAACACGUGGAUAACCUACCUAUAAGACUGGGAUAACUUCGGGAAACCGGAGCUAAUACCGGAUGAUAUUUUGAACCGCAUGGUUCAAAAGUGAAAGACGGUCUUGCUGUCACUUAUAGAUGGAUCCGCGCUGCAUUAGCUAGUUGGUAAGGUAACGGCUUACCAAGGCAACGAUGCAUAGCCGACCUGAGAGGGUGAUCGGCCACACUGGAACUGAGACACGGUCCAGACUCCUACGGGAGGCAGCAGUAGGGAAUCUUCCGCAAUGGGCGAAGGCCUGACGGAGCAACGCCGCGUGAGUGAUGAAGGUCUUCGGAUCGUAAAACGCUGUUAUUAGGGAAGAACAUAUGUGUAAGUAACUGUGCACAUCUUGACGGUACCUAAGCAGAAAGCCACGGCUAACUACGU
rnacentral:rRNA from 1 species